UACGUAGGGUGCGAGCGUUAAUCGGAAUUACUGGGCGUAAAGCGUGCGCAGGCGGUUCGUCAAGUCAGAUGUGAAAGCCCCGGGCUCAACCUGGGAACUGCAUUUGAAACUGGCGGGCUUGAGUGUGGCAGAGGGGGGUGGAAUUCCGCGUGUAGCAGUGAAAUGCGUAGAGAUGCGGAGGAACACCGAUGGCGAAGGCAGCCCCCUGGGCCAACACUGACGCUCAGGCACGAAAGCGUGGGGAGCAAACAGG
rnacentral:rRNA from 1 species